ACAAUGUUAUCUGCGUCCAGAACGAGGUUUUAGGAAAUCGGAAUCAUCCGAUGUCGCUUAUUCUGAAAAUUGAAUCUCUGGCUGUAUUCUAUAAUCGCAAAAUAUGGAGACUAAUGGCACUGUGGUUUCAUAUGUGCACCUGUGGGUUGCGUGUAUUACCGCUGUCGACAACAGAAUCAGGAUCAUUGUAUGUCUUGUGAAUGUUUGCAGUAGAAUGCUAGAGUUUGAGGUGGUACCUUAAUCGGGCGAAGAAGCACAAUUUAGGCAGCAGCGAUGAGAAAGUAUAAGAGACGAGGGCAUCCGCAAGUACGUACAAGGAAUGGGUCGACGAAUAUUGACGUCGUUGCGGUUAUGGCAUUAGCGAUUUUUGCGGGUUCAGGGGACCACUAUGAAGCUGAAGUGGAAGUGGUAAGUAUUAUCAUUCCUCAAUCAGUAACUUAAAUGUUUGAAGAAUGUUAUUGUUAGCUUUUCAUGAAGUUGGGAUCUCCCUUAAUAUCUUGUGCAUCCAGCUACGUAACAUUUUGUGACAGUUACUUUCUGAGUUGGCUUUUGCAUCCUCCCAAGCGCGACAUAGCUGUGAUAUCCCAAUCAGGUCGCUGCGAGUGUUAGAGCCCAUGGCCCUUGCUUCAGUUAUCUUUGAUAUGUUCGUGCACUUCAAGAAUGUAAUGUUCUCCCUCUUCUGAUUUAUUCUCUGAUCCUUGUUUCUCUGAUGAAUGCGAAGGUGGCCUGGCCACAUGUAUCUAAACCAACUUGUAGAUAAAUCGGGGACAGUUUCGGAGCACGUGGAUUAUUCCACAGCUGCUGCGGCGGUUUUUACUAAUUUUCUUCCAUGAAUCGAGAUCAGGGAUAUUCAUCACUAGUUGAUGACUAGAUAUCAAUUGUAGUGGUAGAAACUAUGGUAGUUUAAUGGGACUAUUUGAUUUUGUAAUGUCAGUAAUGCUUCAUAUAGAGGCGAUUAAGGGUUGACAUUCGAAGCGAUGCAAGUGAAGGUAAAGACUUGAAUUAACUGGAAGGUCAGUGGUCAUGAAACAUUUUGCUGAAGAGCUUUGAAAUCAAAGCGGGUUUCCGUCAGAAUGAAAAUGUGGCCGACUACUGUCGCCAGAAUGUAACGGUUAGUGAAUCGGUAUUUUAAUGGUGUCGAAUGGAGUCAAAUGAUAUCUUUUUCGAGGCAUGGCUAUUUUGGAUUUUGAGGCUCUGAAGAAGACGUGCCACGGAGUCAGUUUUCUUGUGUUUGGUUAGAACCUUGAAUACAUAUAUUCCUGUAAGGUGCGUUAGAGUUUUGUUGCAAACUUCAGUAUACUGCUACAAAUUGCAUCGAAGAAGUUGUCAAGAAGGAACAUUGCAAGGAGGACAUGGGAACGCUUCCGAAUAGUGUGGUGGCUGCCUUACCAAAGGACCUUGACGCGCAAUUGGAAGUCGCGCAGCAGAUCACCCAAUUUGCUGUUUUUGGUCGUGUUAGAAAGCUCGAAGAAGAGGCUUUAAGUUUAAGAUCAAAGAUAUCCGAGAAAGAUGCGGUCAUUGGAAGUCUUCAGGCACGUGUUAUUGGAGCAGAGAACACUUUUACAGAAACUACGGCCAAACUGACUAAUGCUAUGGAGGCGCAGGCAAAAUUGAUCGAAGACAAGGAUGUCCUCUCAGCUCAAGUAAUGAAGUUGAUGUGUCAAGUUUCGAAGUUGGACGAGUUCAGGAAGGCGUUGACGAAAUCACUUGAGUCAAGCACAGAAUGUGGUGACCCGGUUGAAGAAAAGAAAAGACCUUGUCCACCAGAAUCAUCUGGUGAAGUGCUAAAGACCACACCCAUUUCGUCGGGAAGGAAAAAUGCUGGAGCAUUUUCAUGCAAGAAGAUAAUAUGCCCCGAGUGUCCUGAAGCUUCUCCCUCAUCAAUUCCCGUUGAAGUAGCUGUGGGUCCUGACGAGGGUCCGGCAGAAAGCAGAUAUAAUCAGUUUGUAUAUUCAAAAGUAAUUGAUCCUCUGGUCGCUCGUGCACCAUCAGACAGUUCAUGUCUUUCAGCAAAAUCGCCAAAGUUUGAUGGCAAAGAGUUUUUUCGACUAGUCAGGAACCGGUUGUCACAUGAGCAAUUUAAUGAGUUCUUGAUACAAAUUAAAGAAUUAAAUGCACAUCACCAAUCAAGAGAGAUGUUCUUGGCAGGAUUAGAAAUUUUUUCUUGGUAGAUUUCAUCCAAAGAAUUCAAAUUGCAAUAACCAUGUACCACCACAUUGCAAGGAUUAAGUUUUAAAAAUUACAUAAUUGUACAAGCUUAAGUAUGUGAUUAUUCAAUGGUGAAAGCUUUGAGAGAUAUACCUCAAAAAUUCUAGUAUAUACAGUUAAUGAAUUAUUUUGUAUUUAAUUAUAAUAAUGCGUAAAGCACAUGUCUUUACAAAAACCACAAUUAAUUAAGGAGCUAGAUGCAUCCAUGCAUUUACUCAAUAUCUAUAAGUUGAGGUGACACCGUGCUGAAAUAUUCAAUCAAACCAAAUUGUGAAUCCAACAUGAGUGUUGCCUUUUGAGAUCUUGGAAGAGAUUACAACUAAAUAAUGGGUUGAAUAUUGUGCAUUGUGUCAUGGUAUUGAAGGCAAUAGUACUGCUGAAGAGGCCCAUGUACUUCCCAAGUCAGUUUUUUUUUCUUCUUCGUUUUAAUAUAUUUCCAUUAAUAACUUCUCAAGCCAGUUUUAAUAUCCUAAAUUUUUGAAGAGGACUGGAUUUAUUACCAGGUUUAUUGCACAUGUUACAUAUUCAUUUGUGAUGAAUGUGUAACAUAUUAACAUUUAUUGCACAUGCUAACAUAAGAUUAAAGUACAACUUUUCCAACUACGUUAACAUUGUUCAACUUCACAAAUGGCAGAAUUAUAUACUCACUGUGAAAGCCUGCCAAGUGCUUGUCUCUAGAUUGAUUGAAAUGAGAUCUUGCCUUUCAGUUUGUAUGGAUGUUCACUUGCCUGGUUAAUGCUUGCUCUUGUUCUUUCUUUCUCUUUCUCCAUUUCAUAGCAUUUGUCAAGCUCGGGUCAAGCACUCUUCAGCCUGAUGACCAAGUAGUCUAGCUACACAUCUAAAAUUCAGGAUUUUAGGGCUACAAUAAAUACCAACCAAUAUGUACAUUGUUAAACCAGGGUGCGAACAUCAUCCAGUUUAUAUUGAAAUCUUUUACUGUA